UACAGAGGGGGCUAGCGUUAUUCGGAAUUAUUGGGCGUAAAGGCGCGUAGGCGGCCAUGCGUGUCUUCCGUGAAAUCCCUCGGCUUAACCGGGGAACUGCGUCUGAUACUGGAUGGCUUGAGGUUGGGAGAGGGAUGCGGAAUUCCUGGUGUAGCGGUGAAAUGCGCAGAUAUCAGGAGGAACACCGGUGGCGAAGGCGGGUCUCUGGGCCGAUACUGACGCUGAGGAGCGAAAGCGUGGGGAGCGAACAGG
rnacentral:rRNA from 1 species